UGUUACGGGUUGAAUUGUGUUCCCCAAAAAGAUAUGUUGAAUUUCUAAACCCUAGCACCUCAGAAUUUGACCUUAUUUGGAAAUAAGGUCAUUGCAGACAUAACAAGUUAAGAUGACAUCAUAAUGGAUAGAUGGGGCCUCAAUCCAGUGAUUGGUAUGCUUAUAAGAGAAGACACAGAAACAAAGGGAAGAAAACACCGCAAGAAGACACAAAUAAAAGAAGAACACCAUGUGACAGCAGAGGCAGAGAUGGCCUUUCCUAUUAAAGUGAUAAAUGCUUACAAAACAGAUAUCCAGCUACAUAACCAAGCAGAUUGAAUGGGACUGGGGGACAUUUCACAACAGUGAUUUUGAUUCUUCAAACUUUUGGAGACAAAACAACUUUCAGAUGAAGAAUGAAAUUUGAAGCCAGAAUAGCAUGCGAUGAAAAACAUUUUAAAUCCAUGCCUUCUUUUUGAAGUUGUAUCUUUUUGGAUGCUCAAGAGUGAGUUGGAUUUGCAGCCACAAAUCAAAUGUUCAGAAAUCCUUGGCUGUCUGAGCCUGGCGGCCCUCAUCCAGCCAGCUGGACGAUAAAACACCUGGGUUGAUUCUAUUUAUUCUGGAGGGGAGGAGCAAGGCUGUGCAAAACAACAUGAAGAAAGACUCGUCUUUGCAAAAUUGCAAUGUAUCUAAAAUUUCGUUGUCUUCUCA